CGCGAGCUGGGUUCAGAACGUCGUGAGACAGUUCGGUCCCUAUCCGUCGUGGGCGUAGGAAAUUUGAGAGGAGCUGUCCUUAGUACGAGAGGACCGGGAUGGACAUACCUCUGGUGUACCAGUUGUCGUGCCAACGGCAUAGCUGGGUAGCUAUGUGUGGACGGGAUAAGUGCUGAAAGCAUCUAAGCAUGAAGCCCCCCUCAAGAUGAGAUUUCCCAACUUCGGUUAUAAGAUCCCUUAAAGAUGAUGAGGUUAAUAGGUUCGAGGUGGAAGCAUGGUGACAUGUGUAGCUGACGAAUACUAAUCGAUCGAAGACUUAAUCAAAA
rnacentral:rRNA from 1 species